CUUCGGUGAUGAUACGAUGACGAGUCGGACACGGACCUUCUGUUCCCUGUGGAGUCUGGCUUAGUGUCACGUUCUGUGCUGCUUGGUUAAGGCCACGGGGGCAAGGGUCCUAUUCAGUUGAAGACAUUGAGGCAUUUGUCUGAGAAGG